GACGAACGCUGGCGGCGUGCCUAAUACAUGCAAGUAGAACGCACAGUUUAUACCGUAGCUUGCUACACCAUAGACUGUGAGUUGCGAACGGGUGAGUAACGCGUAGGUAACCUGCCUGGUAGCGGGGGAUAACUAUUGGAAACGAUAGCUAAUACCGCAUAAUAUUAAUUAUUGCAUGAUAAUUAAUUGAAGGUGCAAUUGCACCACUACCAGAUGGACCUGCGUUGUAUUAGCUAGUAGGUGAGGUAACGGCUCACCUAGGCGACGAUACAUAGCCGACCUGAGAGGGUGAUCGGCCACACUGGGACUGAGACACGGCCCAGACUCCUACGGGAGGCAGCAGUAGGGAAUCUUCGGCAAUGGACGAAAGUCUGACCGAGCAACGCCGCGUGAGUGAAGAAGGGUUUCGGAUCGUAAAGCUCUGUUGUAAGAGAAGAACGGGUGUGAGAGUGGAAAGUUCACACUGUGACGGUAUCUUACCAGAAAGGGACGGCUAACUACGUG
rnacentral:rRNA from 1 species